rnacentral:rRNA from 1 species
AAACCAACAGGGAUUGCCUCAGUAACGGCGAGCGAAGCGGCAAAAGCUCAAAUUUGAAAGCUAGCGUCUUUUGGCGUUCGCGUUGUAAUUUGAAGAUGGCAACUUUGGAGACGGCCUUGGCAUAUGUUCCUUGGAACAGGACGUCAUAGAGGGUGAGAAUCCCGUACGUGGCCUUGUCACCGUCUCUUUGUAAAGUGCUUUCUAAGAGUCGAGUUGUUUGGGAAUGCAGCUCUAAGUGGGUGGUAAAUUCCAUCUAAGGCUAAAUAUAGGCGAGAGACCGAUAGCGAACAAGUACAGUGAUGGAAAGAUGAAAAGAACUUUGAAAAGAGAGUGAAAAAGUACGUGAAAUUGUUGAAAGGGAAGGGCUUGAGAUCAGACUUGGUUUGUAACGAUCAACUUUGUCUUUCGGGACUUGUGCACUCGCCACUUACUAGGCCAGCAUCAGUUCCGGCGGUGAGAUAAUGGUAGUGGAAUGUGACUUUGCUUCGGUAGAGUGUUAUAGCCACAUGCUGAUGUCACCAGCUGGGACUGAGGACCGCGUCUUUGACUAGGAUGCUGGCGUAAUGAUCUUAAGCCAC